rnacentral:misc_RNA from 1 species
CAUUUGUAUCUGCAACUCAUGCGCGCACACACUCACCUUCACAUUGCGGAUGGUACCGUUAUGUAUAAUAAGUAAGUACCAUCAGUGUGAAGUAUCACAUGUUUCGGUUCCAAUGUCAGUGGAUUGAGGAUAUUUGGGUGAGAGUGCGAAGAAAAUGAGUGAACAGAGUCAUGAAAGCAGCGCUAAAGAGACUGAUUGCGAAGGGGAGGCUGAACCUAAGAGAACCCAUGUUGAAUGGAGUCCCUUUGUAGAGCGUCUUUUCAGCACCUACUGGGGCCUUUCGUUGCUUUUUGGGGGCGUUUCUAUGUUAACCAUCCUGUUCAUUGCGGCAGAUGAAUGCAGACAAUGCUUUAACAAGCCCGUGGAUGUAGCUGAAGAGUCCUCCAAAACGUUCUGGGUUUAUGGAAAAAACUCCGAAGGGGGCCAUCUGAAGGAGGUUUACACGGUGUUGGAGCGGCUGGGGUACCAAAAAACCCAAAACCCAGGGGGCGAUUGGGACCUCCUAUGGGCCCACGACUACCCAUUUCGGGCCCUUCAAGCACAGCUAAGUCAUCUGAAGCCCCAUCAAAAGGUCAAUCACUUUCCUGGAUGCGGCUACAUAACCAAUAAAGUGGAUUUGGCUACCAGCGGUCUACGCUACAUCCCGCCCGCCUUCAAGCUUCCGCAAGACAAAGAGAAGUUGCUGCAGUUUGCGAAAAUGAAUCCGAAUAAAACGUUUGUGCAAAAGAACAACGACCAUAGGAACAUCAAGAUAGAACAGCUGUCGAACAUCGAUCUGGACAAGAGCGGGAGCUUUGUCCAGGAGUUUGUGGAUAAGCCCCUGUUGCUCAGCGGACACAAGUUUGAUAUUGGGAUCUACACCGUUGUUACAUCAAUCGAUCCUCUCAGGGUGUAUAUUUACAAUGGUGAAGCCUUGCUACGAUUUUGCCCGACAAAAUAUUACCCAUUCGAUCCAGCAAAUCUGGAUAAGUACGUGGUAGGAGACGAUUAUUUACCCAUAUGGGAGGUGCCAGCUGUAGACUAUUACUACAACCAAUUAGGGUUCGGAAUGCGGGAAAGUCUGAAUGCCUACCUAAGGAGUCAAGGCAGGGACCCGAGUGUGAUCUGGACGCAAAUUGAAGACUCUAUUCGAACGGUUUUAAUAGCCAAAGAGCCUCUAAUUGCCGACGUUCUUAAAAGGUUCAGGCACAAAAGAAACUUCUUCGAAAUGAUGAGGUUCGACUUCGUAAUCGAUGAAGAACUGAACAUUUACCUAUUGGAAGCCAACAUGAGCCCCAAUUUAUCAUCCUCGCAUUUCCCACCAAAUCGACUCCUCUAUCAGCAGUUGCUGUAUAACGUUCUUGGAUUGGUCGGAGUAGGACAACGGAUUCACAAGAACACUCUCGAAGUCCAAAGAGGAAGAACUGAUGAUAGUUUCCGAGAAACAACUGGCUACAUAUCCAGAAAAAUGCAACAGUCCAUUGUGUAGGAGCAGUUGCGUAUCUCCCGACUGCCAGCUUUGCAAGCCUUGCCUAUCGCCGGAAACUAAGCGCUAUUUGAUCGAGGCAUUUAAAGAGCAUUUGCACCGCGGCGACUGCAAAAGAAUAUUUCCCCCUGUUGAGACAAGGGACGAGGCACUAAAAGCGGUAGAGGACAGUUACUCGGCGGAAAAUCAACUUCACUACAGUUGGUUUAAAGGAAAAUGCCUUUUGGACAGCACUUGGUGUUGAUUUUAUUGGAAUCUUUUGCCGAAAGGAUGAGGGAGUAGAUUUCUUAGAUGGAAUGUGAAGGGGGCGUCCUUAGAUGGAAUGUAUACAUGGGCGGAUCCAGCUUUAAAGUCAGGGGGGGGUAUGUAGAAAAAAUACA